rnacentral:sRNA from 1 species
AGAUAUGAGGAGGUUCCGGAGAGGGCCCCUGUCCGUUUUUGAUUCCCAGGAUCAAUCCUGCUGCCCUGAAUGACCAGGCAGUGCCCACUUCCCCUUCUUAUCGCUCUAGGCUUGUUCCUCCUGAGACUGGCUCUGAGAAAGGAAAAAUACUUUUUCAGUCAAGGGACAAACCAACUAAGUGUACUUUCCUAAUAGGGCAUAGGAUGCUAAACUGUUUAGUGAGACAUGCUGCUGGAAAAGUUUGGAUUUAGAAUAAAAUUGGGCUACUCUUGUCUGUAUUU